rnacentral:lncRNA from 1 species
GGCUUGCGCGCGGAGGGAUUCCCUAGCCUUGAGGAAGGCGACGAGCAGCUCGGGGGCCGCCGCCGCCGCCGCCAUUUUGGGCUGGGAGGAGGCAGCGGAGGGACUCGCUGCGCAGUGAGAGCACCCCAUGGGGGGUGGUCCGGGCGCGGGGAGAGGCCGGGCCGAGUGGGCUGCCUGAAGUGGCGGCGCCGGGAGACGGCGGGGAGUUGGGUCGGGGGCUGGGAAGGGUGAAGGUUGGCGUCUCCCCGGCCGAGCCCAGUCCUCAAACCGUCCCGGCAGCCUCUCCGCCUCGCCUUUGAGAGCGGCCUUUUGGGGUAAUUACCGCGUAUUUCCCGGGAUCCCAGCAGAGGAGAGGCCAGUAAGACGGCUUCCCCUCUGCUGUGCUUCCACCGGGACGUGAUCCUGAGGCCGAGGUCUGCCCAAGGCCUCUCGUCACCCCCAUUCAUCCCGGGUAUGGCGGCCAGGCCCGGCGUAGCCGGACCCCCAUCUGAAGGACGAGGUGGGCGCGACGCCAGUUGGAGACCCUGGCUCGCAGGGACGGGCCGAGGUUGCAACUCUGGCCGCAUGCCCUGAGCAGUGCUAGUGAGCUGGAGGCUCCGAGGUUGCCCGGCCGGAUUGCACCCGCCUCCCCACCCCCAUACACCGUGUCCAUCCCACUUCUCAGGGCUGCGAAAAGCAACAACCCUCUAACUUCUAUAACAGCCACCAACUCCCCCUGGGACCAACUAGAUCUGGGCACGUGGAAAGCUCGAGCUUAGCGCUUGGAAAUUUCUGAGCUCUCUUGCCCUCAAGAUUUCUCCCAUCGAGCCCCGACUCUCCCAAUGGCCUGACCUCGAACGUCAGCAUCCGCUUUUGGAAACUCCUGAAGUGUGUCGCCCCACUUCAAAAUUUCACGCCAAAGGGAUGGGGUUAUGCCCUUUGAAGGGUUGGGGGAAAGAAAAUAAUUUCAGUCACUACAGUCCAGUAAUAGAAACGGAGUGGCCCAUUUCGGGUACUUCAAAAACAUCUGCUUGCAUUUUGAAAUCUGAGCCGUAACUUAGGGGCGAAGAGGCUGUGCUACAAGGGCAAAGGGAGUUAAUUCCGAUGUGAUUUUUUUUUUUUUUUUUUUUGUAAGCCUACACCAUGUCCCAUUUAAAGUCUUGUUCCACAAACUAAAAAGAGUAUUUUCUGUGCCACUGUCUCAUUGUUACUGAAGCCAUCUCUUCUGUAGAUGCAGAAAGUACUUAAGUAGAAAUGGCAGUUUUGAUCUACUUUAUGUGUUAUAUAGGAUAUAGGGGAGACCUCGAAUAAACUUACAACCUAACAUUAUAGCACUGCCAGCAUUUAAAAGGCUCUCUUACUGAACUUGUUUCUUAAAGAUUUCCAGACUACACCUUCAAAUGAUAGCUUUGUAGUUGAGCUGUCAGUUAAAAUUGUGCCCAGGUAAGGCUCUGAAGUAGGUGGUUAACUAGCCAUUGAUACCUGUGAGUACCUUGUAAUGAAUUUUACUGCUAGUUAUAGAUGGUCUUAACUCCUAGGCCCUUGCUUUAACAGUAGGACCCGGGAAAGUUUCUUCAGGGUUGAAGGACUGCCCCUUGUAUUAAUAAAAAAAACAAAGUCUUUCCAGCUGGAUGUGGUGGAUCUCUUAAAUUUGAGGCCAGCCAGCUCUCCAUAGAGAGUUUCAGGCCAGCCAGGGCUACUAGUGAAACUUGAAUAGUCCUAAAUGGGGUGAGAGCUUCCUAGCUAUAACUAAUUUUUCCCUCCAUACCUCAUGGUUUGAAGAAAAAUUUUAAAGUCUACUGUGCAAACAAAACAACAAACAGAAAUACCUGCUCACUAUUGACUGGUUUGGGUUUUUUUUGAGACUUCUUACUCUACCCUAGGCAGAGUAAUCCUUCUGCCUCAACCACGUGUUAGAUUUACAGGUAUGAGCUAGUAUAUCAACUUGUUUUUUUCCUUUGAGACAGGGUUCGGAUAGCCCAGACUGACCUUAAACUCGUUCUGUAGUUUAAGCUGGCAUUGAACUUCCUUCCUCCGCCUCCUAAGUCCUUGGAUUGUAGGCAGGUACCACCAAACCCAAUAUUAUUUAUUUACUUCCUUUGUGUUUACAUAUGCAUACAUGUGGAGGUCAGAAUUUGUAAGUCUGUUCUCUUACCACCUGGGUGUCCGGGGAUAAACGUCCUGUUGUCAGGCUUGGUAGCAAGUGCCUUUACACAAUGAGCCAUCUGGCUGUUCUCCUAAUGGGGUUAUUGUUGUUAUGUUUGCUCUCACCCAUGACCUGGAACUAUCUGCUUGAGCCCCUCAAGUGUUCUCAGGUGUAUACCAUUGCAUUCAGUCAUGACUAAGAUUAAUUUAGACAGGGUCUACUGUAGUUCUUGCUAGCCUUGAAAACUCUCUGUAGCCAAGACCUUUGAACUCCUGCCUAUGCUUGCUGAAUGCUGAGAUUACAGGAGUGUGCCAUCGUACACAAUUUGUGUGGUAUUAGAGAUUGAAUCCAGGGCUUUGUGCACUCUAGGCAGUAUCCUGUCAACUGAGCUACAUCCCUAGCCCCUAUUAAAGUUCUUAAU